rfam:Deinococcus gobiensis I-0 plasmid P1, complete sequence.
UAGACGAAGAGAAGCGAAGAACCUGUCCUGUAAAUCGGGCACCUCGGACAGGGGAGCCAGUGGUGCGACCGGCUUUUCAUCCA